rnacentral:rRNA from 1 species
GUAUAAAUAAUUUGUUUAAUUUAAGUCAAACUUCCAAGAAAAGCUCUUAUUACUGUUAAAUUAAAAUAACCUGUACCCUAAACUGACACAAGUAGGUAGGUAGAGAAUACUAAGGGGCGCGAGAUAACUCUCUCUAAGGAACUCGGCAAAAUGGCCCCGUAACUUCGGGAGAAGGGGUGGUGUUAUUUUCUAAAUAACUCCCGCAGUGACCAGGCCCAGGCGGCUGUUUAUCAAAAACACAGGUCUCCGCAAAGUCGUAAGACAAUGUAUGGGGGCUGACGUCUGCCCAGUGCCGGAAGGUAAAAGAAGUUGGUUAUUCUUUAGAAAAAGCUGACGACUGAAGCCCCGGUGAACGGCGGCUGUAACACUGACAGUCCUAAGGUAGCGAAAUUCCUUGUCGAGUAAGUUUCGACCCGCACGAAAGACGUAACGAUCUGGGCACUGUCUCGGAGAGAGACUCGGUGAAAUAGAAAUGUCUGUGAGGAUGCGGACUACUUAUACCAGGACAGAAAGACCCUAUGAAGCUUGACUGUAAUUUGGAAUUGAGUUCGGGCUUUUUUUGCGCAGCCUAGGUGGGAGGCAUUGAUGUAAAAUUUUUGGAUUUUAUGGAGCCAAAAUUGAGAGACCACCCUAAAAAGGCUAGAAUUCUAAUAGGACUCCUUGAAUCAGGAUCCUUGACAGUUUCAGAUGGACAGUUUGACUGGGGCGGUGAUCUCCUAAAAGGUAACGGAGAUGUGCAAGGGUUCUCUCAGGCUGGACGGAAAUCAGCUAUAGAGUGUAAAGGUAGAAGAGAGCUUGACUGCAAGACCAACAAGUCGAGCAGGGGCGAAAGCCGGCCUUAGUGAUCCGACGGUUCCGAGUGGAAGGGCCGUCGCUCAACGGAUAAAAGUUACUCUAAGGAUAACAGGCUGAUCUCCCCCAAGAGUUCACAUCGACGGGGAGGUUUGGCACCUCGAUGUCGGCUCAUCGCAACCUGGGGCUGGAGUCGGUCCCAAGGGUUGGGCUGUUCGCCCAUGAAAGCGGUACGUGAGCUGGGUUCAGAACGUCGUGAGGCAGUUCGGUCCAUAUCCGGUAUAAGCGUAAGAGCAUUGAGAGGAUCUCAACAUUGUACGAGAGGACCCGAAGGGACGUACCUAUGGUGUACCAGUUCUUAUGCCAAUAGGAAACGCUGGGUAGCUGUGUACGGAGUGGAUAAUCGCUGAAAGCAUUUAAGUGAGAAGCCCACCUCAAGAUGAGUGCUCUCUAUUAGAUCACGGCAAGACAAGCCGGUACAUUGGUAUCAAGUGUAAGAUUAGUAAUAAUUUGAGCUGAGAUAUACAAACGUU